AGUUUACAUUACCACUAGCAGUAUAAAAGUGUUCCCUUUUCACCAAAUGCCCCCCAAUAUUUUUUAUUUUUUGCUGUUUUGAUUAUGGUCAUUCUUGCCAGAGUAAGCUGGCAUAGCAUUGUGAGUUUUUGGUUUUUUUUUUUUGAGAUGGAGUCCGCUCUGUCACCAGGCUGGAGUGCAGUGGUGUAACCUUGGCUCACUGCAACUUCCACCUUCUGGGUUCAAGGGAUUCUCCUGCCUCAGCCUCCCGAGUAGCUGGGACUACAGGUGCCCACCACCACUCCCGGCUAAUUUUUGUAUUUUUAGGACAGAUGGAGUUUCACCAUGUUGGCCAGGGUGGUCUUGAUCUCUUGACCUAGUGAUCUACCCGCCUCAGCCUCCCAAAGUGCUGGGAUUUCAGGUGUGAGCCACCGCUCCCAGCCUGACAUUGUGGUUUUGAUUUGCAUUUCCCUGAUCUUUAGUGAUGAUGAGCAUUUUUUCAUGUUUGUUGGCCAUUUUUUAUAUCUCCUUUUGAGAAUUGUCUAUUCAAGUCCUUAGCCCAUUAUUUGAAGGGAUUGGUUUUUUUCCUGUUAAUUUGAGUACCUUGUAGAUUCUGGUUAUUAGUCCUUUCUCAGACGUAUAGAUUGUGAAGAUUUUCUCCCAUUCCAUGGGUUGUCUGUUUACUCUGCUUAUUGUUUCUUUUGCUGUGCCAAAACGUUUUGGCUUGAUUAAGUCUCACCUUUUAAUCUUCAUUUUGUUGUUGUUGCACUUGCUUUUGGGUUCUUGGUCAUGAAGUCUCUGCCUAAGCCAAUGUGUAGAAGGGGUUUUCCAAUGUUACCUUCUAGAAUUUUUAUGGUUGCAGGUCUCAGAUUUAAGUUGACUUUUGUAUAAGGUAAGAGAUGGGAAUUCAGUUUCAUUUCUUGGGAUAUAGCUUGCCAAUUAUCCAAGCACCAUAUGUUGAGUAGGGUGUUCUUUCCCCACUUUAUAUUGUUUGCUUUGUCAAAGACCAGUUGGCUGUAAGUAUUUGAGUUUACUUCUGGGUUCUCUAUUAUGUUUCAUUGGUCUAUGUGCUUAUUUUUAUACCAGUAUUAUGCUGUUUUGCUGACUAUGGGUUUGUAGUAUAGAUUGAAGUCAGGUAAUGUAAUGCCUCCAGAUUUGUUCUUUCUGCUUAGUCUUGCUUUGGCUAUGUGGGCUCGUUUUUUUUUUCCCAUAUGAAUUUUAGAAUUAUCAGGAGCCACCAGGUGCUGCAGCAGCUUUGGGAUAACUUGAGGGCGCAUCCUGGGGAAGAAACACCUCCUGUCCAUGGUGCUAACUGCUGAGGACAGUGCUUCGGCGUGGCUUCUCCGUGGCCCAGCUUCUUUGGGGCGUUUUUCUUUCAUGGUUCAUCCAUAUGGCUCCAAAUGAAAAUUACAUUAAUUAUGGAUGAAGAGUAUUGUGUUGUGCAGAUAUACUGCAGUUUCUUCAUCCCUUCAUCUAUGGAUGGACAGGUUCCACAGUGUUGCCACGGAUGACCUGAUUUCAGUACCCAUGUCUGGCUGAAGAGUAUCUGGUUGUGACUGGAUACUGCAGUUUCUGGAUCUCAUCCUCUGUGGGUGGACAGGUUUCUCCAUCUUGCUGGUAGUGAACUGAUGUCCGGAAGUUUGAUGGCCGAAGAGUAUACCGUUGUGCAUAUAUCCUUCAAUUCCUGAUUUUAUCAUCUGUAGAAAGACAAGACAAAUGGCCACUCUGACCAGCGUGUGAUGGCACCGGUACCUCAUCUCUGAUGAUUGGUGAUGUUGAGCAUUCCCCACGCCUGUUGGAAUGGCAAUCCCUUGGAAAUGUCUUCUCAAUAGUUACUACCCAUAGAGAACAGACCCUCCCAGUCUUCAGUGCACUCUAAAUACUGGCUAAUUCUGGCCAAUGGAAGGCAUCUGUGGAAGAAAAAAGCCUCAGAUCAUGUGCUGUCUGUCUUUAUUCAGUGUGACAUAUUAGGUAAUGGUCACAGACACUCACCAUGGCCCCAGUUUUUAAUAACAUGACCCUGCUUUUGUGUUCCAGUAACUUCUGUUGUUUUCCCAAUCCUAAGUAUGAUAGAAACUUCCUGCUGCUGCUAAUCUCUGGGUUCCAUUUAAAAUCCUUCCAUCACAUGAAUACUAUGCUGUGUUCUAAAUUUUUCCAUAAUUAAAUACUUACAAUUAUUUUUGCCUACUUCUUUUGCCCCUUAGUGAUAUGUUUUAAAAACACUUAUAAUGUGUCACAAUAUAUUUAGCAAAUGUAGGGAAUGACAUUUUUACUUUCGUCAGCAUUUACACUAGCAUUUAUGGAGCGAUGCUAUAUAAAGUAUUUUUAGUAAUUUAAACGUUAUAUAACAGAUAUCCGUUGAUUCCUUUGUUUCUACGUAAAUAAGUAUACUUGAGAUAUUCAGUAAACAGUAUUGAAUACAUGUUUCAUUUGUAUAAUAUAAAAUUAUGAUUAUUCUUUUUAAACAGUACAUCAUAUUUGCUUGUUGGCUUUAUGAUAACUUAGAAAUAAUAUUCUGGAUUAACUGUGUGACUCAUGAGAAGAUUUGUGCAACUAUGUUUCCAAAUUUACUUGAUUUUCAAGACUUACACUAGAACUGUGAGAACAGGGUAAUAAAUAAGCAUAUGUAUUAAUAUCACCUUUGGUCAACUCUUGGGUAGCCCCAACGGUAGUGUAGGAAUUAACGUAAUUUUUCCUACUAAAAGUAUUGGAUUUGUUUUGAGAGACCACAGUUGAAAAUCAUUGACAUACAAAGUUUAAAAAUUGUUAGGUUAAAAAAUUUUAAAUGCAUUUGAAGUGGUUUUAUAGAAAAAUAAUUAUCUAACUUGGUUUAUAUUGACAGGUUGUUUUCUUGGAUAAGAACUAGACGAAGAGAAAGGGAGAUUAGUGAUAAAUGUCCAGGUUUUCAAGUUGAAAAGUAACAAUCAGUGUAUUACAACAGAUGGAUGUGAUGUCAAAUUACAAAUGCUGAAAACGUUAUAUGUAAUCAUGUAGCCAGAGUAAUCAUACAAGGCAAAGAACGGAAAGGCAUCCAAAUAGGAAAGAGGCUGGAAUGCAGUGGCACCAUCUCAGCUCACUGCAACCUCCGCCUCUGGGUUCAAGUGCUGCUCCUGCCUCAGUCUC
rnacentral:lncRNA from 10 species